ACCUUUUGUUGUUUCCUCGGCAGGUCCUCUGCCGCCAGGAACCCCCCAAACCCUUUUGCAACAGCAUCCAAACUUCUGAAAACAAACCAAAUCAUUUACAACUUUUAACAAUGGAUCUCUUGGUUCUGGCAUCGAUGAAGAACGCAGCGAAAUGCGAUAAGUAGUGUGAAUUGCAGAAUUCAGUGAAUCAUCGAAUCUUUGAACGCACAUUGCGCCCCUUGGUAUUCCAUGGGGCAUGCCUGUUCGAGCGUCAUUUACACCCUCAAGCUCUGCUUGGUGUUGGGCGUCUGUCCCGCUUCGCGCGCGGACUCGCCCCAAAGGUAUUGGCAGCGGUCGUGCCAGCUUCUCGCGCAGCACAUUGCGCUUCUCGAGGCACCGGUGGGCCCGCGUCCAUCAAGCUCACCCCCCCAGUUUGACCUCGGAUCAGGUAGGGAUACCCGCUGAACUUAAGCAUAUCAAUAAGCGGAGGA
rnacentral:rRNA from 1 species